UACGUAGGGUGCAAGCGUUGUCCGGAAUUAUUGGGCGUAAAGAGCUCGUAGGCGGUUCGGCAAGUCGGAUGUGAAAUCUCCACGCUUAACGUGGAGGGGCCAUUCGAAACUGCUGUGACUCGAGUCCGGUAGGGGAGUGUGGAAUUCCCGGUGUAGCGGUGAAAUGCGCAGAGUAUCGGGAGGAACACCGGUGGCGAAGGCGGUUCUCUGGGCCUUACCUGACGCUGAGGAGCGAAAGCGUGGGGAGCGAACAG
rnacentral:rRNA from 1 species